rnacentral:tRNA from 1 species
GGUCCCGUAGUGGAGCGGUUUAACACGCCUCGCCUGUCACGCAGGAGAUCGCGGGUUCGAUUCCCGUCGGGACCG